AUGGCGGCGGAGCUCGCGGCCGGCAGGGACGCGCCACGGGGGCAUGGAGAGGGGCUGAGCAGCUCCCUCCGCCCCGCGCUCCGCUCCCUCCCCGGCUCCGCACAGCUCCGCGGUCAGCCCCAGGGGAGGGGUUGGAGGCAACGGCUGGCUGGCGGGCGGCCAGGACGCAGCCGGACGCCGCCUCCCCCUCCGCGAGCUCGCCGUGACGCCACGCCACAACUCACCUUCACCGAGCCCCCGGCCGCCAUCUUGCGCAAAGAGGGAGGGGGCGGCGCCGAGCGGCCCGGGGUAGCGCCUCAGCCCCGCUCCACGCUAGAGGGCAGCACAACUUCUUUCCUCUCUCUCUCUCUCUCUCUCUCUCUUUCUUUCUUUCUCUUUUUUUUUUUUUUUUUUUUUUUUUNUUUUUUUCAGGUUGGCUCUCCACGAGUAGGUACUGUCUUCGCCUUAUCUCGGAGCAUUCCUAUAAGCAUUAAAGACAAAGCCGGAGUUCUACGCUUAGCCGGUCCCAUCAUCGUCAGGAUGUCUCCGGCACACACGUCAAACAUCGCUAUCAUCCAGUCUCCUGUCCAUAUUUCACCCAGAUCACAGAGCAUAUUCCUGGAGACGCUCUGGUUUCUUUGACUUCCCCCCAAAGUUCCUCAGUUUGUCAACAGAGGAUGUGAGAAAACAGUACCAUGAAAUCCCUGGAGCAUCCUGUAUAGCAGUGAUGAGAAGCAGAAAAUAGUAAUUGGUCUUGGGUUUCCAGAAAUGAUAAAACAAGACCAAAAAUUCCAUCUGUAACUUAUUCCUAAUUUAUACAAUUUGAUACUGAGUUGAAGAGAUUUGUUUUCAAUUAAAAAGCAAAUAAUUUAAAGACUCAUUAUGGUUUAAAUUAAGUGUGGUCUUUUCAAUAUUCGUAAAUGAUUCUGAGAACAAAGUUGAGCGUGUUUUUGAAAAAAAGUGUUUUCUUUCCGAGGUACAUAUAUAUAGAUAGUACAUGUGUUUAGCUCUCCAAGCUAAACAUAGCUUUAAGUGAGUUAAAUGCUCUAUCAUUAUAUCUUAAUAAUGACUAUUUUCAUAUUUAUGGUAUUCUUGUUGCCACAAAUCUGUACAUGUGAGAACAUUUCAACAAAACAUGUAAACUUCCAUCUUGAGAAAUAUCAGUU
rnacentral:lncRNA from 1 species